rnacentral:lncRNA from 1 species
GAGCUGCAGAGGAGCAGAUGCCUGGAUAAGGAUCAUCUCAGUGCCUCAGGCUGCCACGGUCCCAAGCUGUCCUUGAGGCUGAGGUAGUAGAUUGAAUAGUUGUGGAGUCUGGUCCUCCCUUUGAGCUAACUAUACAAUCUACUGUCUUUCCUAAGGAGACAGUCAGGUCUUCAGGUCUCAUCAUCUACUUCUACACCAAGUUCUCAUCAUCUACUUCUACACCCAGCGUGGAGGCAGGUGGUGCAAGGAAAGCAAAUCUGUGAAUCUGCAGCGUCCCUGAGUCGGACGAGACCUCCGUUCUGCUCUGUGGAGGCAGGUAGCACGUCUGACAACAGACAUGUGAGAAGAGGUCACGCUUCAGAGCUCUGGCCCUUGGCAAGGAACAGGGAAUUGUUAAUUCCUCUCUUUCUUAGGAGCAGAUGGGACUAUCCCUCUGCCGUUUUCCAAAGUAAGCAGGAUCAAGAUCAUGAGUGGAGCUGUAACACGAUCAGGGCUGCACCAGUUCUACAAGACCAAAGGAUAUUUCAGGCCAUUAUCAGGACCAUCUCACUGCCAGGGAGACACGUGAGACCCGAGACACCCGGGAGCGAGGGCGAGCAGAGGACACCUUCUCAGAUGAAGUGGGAGGGAGGGAGCUGCAAAGAGAAAUGGGAGCCCUCAAAUUUCACCCUGAGCAAACACACAGGGACAGCCAGACCUGACUGCUUGGGGCUGUGGGACUCCCCAGAAUGAAGCAGCUCGUUUAAGGCUCCUCUGCUGGGAUGGGGUGUAGCUGCAGCGAGGCUGGGACACAGCUGGUGGGUGGGGAUGCUGCAGUGUGUAGCAGGGAAGGAAUGCAGCCCUCUCUCCAUAAAUCUGGCUUUUCUGCACUCCUGGAGACUUGCUGUUCAAAACUACAGCUUGGUCCUCUUAGCUGCAUUACUGUCCUCUAGCUGCUUGCUAAGGGGCAGAGCUCCUGCCCACAAAUUGCUUGGAAGGUGCCAAUAUAGCACCACAAGCAUGGGAACAGAGUGGCAUAUCCACUUCAUAUUUAAGAACUAAAUCCCUCAAAAAGAACUAAUCCUGUGUGUCCCAGGUGGAAUCAGCUCAGUCCCCCUCCAUGGCAUCGAUGUUAAUGCAGAGAAUCUCAAGCAGUGAAACUGUGAGCUGGAAGCCAUGAAUAAAAUAUUACUGGAGAUGCUCUCUUGUGAAAAU